ACGCUAUUUCGCUUUCUAAGACGCGAUUUUUUUUACAUUUCGUGCAACUACGUUUAUUUAUUUAUUUGUCUUUUAUUUACUUAUAUCUAUGUGUACAUAUAUAUGUAUGUUUGUAUGUAUGUAUGUAUGUAUGUAUGUAUGUAUGCAUUUAGAAAUUAGAACGGAACGGAAGGUGGAUAUUAAAACGGUCGAUAUAAUUUUACGUGACUUUGUAACGUCCUAGUUGUAACCAGACUAACUAAAAGAGGAAAUUAUACGUCGAAGUUCAAGCAACACGUAAAGAAAAUAAUAUCUACGAGUAAAAAUAGAUGGCGACACUUCAUAGAGAACAACAUCCUCGACCGAUUGAAAAUCAUCGAACGAGUGUAUUUCUCGGAACUCCGUUAGAUGGUGUCAAUGAUAUUGUCCGAAAUGGAAAACAAUUUAUCUGGCAAAGACGAAGACGACAACGACAACGACGCUGACGAUGACGAUGACGACAACGACGACGACGACGACGACGUUGCCAAAGAGGACGGACGACAUUUUAAAGGCGAGACGUCGACUUUUGUUUGCUUACGAGGAAUCCCAGUUCCGGCUGUGCAACAGGUUGAAAUAGCGCUAAAUAAAUAGCAUUAGAUGCCAAUCAAGAAUAUUUCUAUCCUUUAAUGACAUAAUCUCUGAUAAUAAUUUUAAUAAUUUUAAUAAUUUACAU